AGUAUUUUAUUACACGCAUCCUGGAUACCUCGAGCUGAUGGUGGUGGCAGAUUGGUACUUAAGCAGAGUCGGAUGUAACCUGCUGCAGCCAUUGGUGUUUUACUCAGUCCAACAGCAAGUCCAACGUUAACUUUGGCUGGUCUCCUGCCAGGAGUCUGGACAGAUUUUUCCUGAUUUUGGUUUGGUUCCCUUUUGCGGAGAGAAUAGUCCGAGGAAGACCUAUCAUCUUUGCCAACAGUUUUCAGGCCGCCAGCUACAGAUUUCUUUGAGUUUGCAUUUUUAUAAGGUGAACGUCCCAAUUUUUGACACAAAAAUUAGGUGCAAGCCAGACGGUAGUUGUUAAGAACCAAAAUUUAAAGUAAAAAAAGCUGCGGCACAUUUGGUUUUUU